CUUUGGAUCCUCUUCCAGCCCUGGACCUCCCCACAAUCCAGCUCCAAAAGGGUUUAUGCCUGCCCCACUCUUUAAUUCUGAUUAGUGCGCCUAUGCCAGUAUCUACUGUUAAAUAUAUGGAAUGUCACCCUUCCUACCCCAUUGAAUAAGAACCACAAAACAAUCUCAUUGCCCGGAUAAGGAAAUUAAGGCCUCCAGAGGGUCAAGGGCUACAGCUGGGGCUCUGAAGACAGUCUGAGACAGAGCCUCACCCCAGCACUUAGCACACAGUGGGACUUGGAAUAGGGAC
rnacentral:lncRNA from 1 species